AUAUUAGUUGGUUGUCCUCUUAACCAAGGUGUGUGGAGACUCGGACAUGGCAUAUGGGUGAAAUAUAGGAGUAUAUUUCACUGAGCGUGAUCAAUUCUGAAGUACUUUACUGUCAAGGGUUGCUCUGAUGGGAUAUGGGUAUAAGUGUCUCUCUGAUCUGAGACUGCUUCGGUGACUUGUAAGCAACUCAAUGUGCUUUGGUGCCAGACUAUUCGAAUUUCUAAUUCGAUGACGGAAGAUUUUUGGAUACAGUCAAGUACUUGUGAAGUCUGAGUGUGAGUCAAGAUAGGAUUGAUCGUUUCAAGUAAAAUUGGAGAUAAUGCAUCACUGUAUUUCAAUUCAGCAAAACUCUGGACAGAGUAGUUCUAAUGAGGAGUCACAGAAUUUUUGAGAUUGAGACACAAUGUGGACCACUCAUAUAGAGUUGACAGUUUAACUCUAAGUCAUCCUUGAGCAUCGAGA
rnacentral:lncRNA from 1 species